rnacentral:rRNA from 1 species
UGAGACGUGAAGAUGAGUAUCUUGUAAAGAGGGAUAGGAGAAUUGGAGGGCAAGUUUGGUGCCAGCAGCCGCGGUAAUACCGACUCCAAGAGUGUGUAUGAGAGAUGCUGCAGUUAAAAAGUCCGUAGUCAUAGAAGGGCAAAGAGAGAUGCGAGGUCUCACAGUGCGAUGAUGGAGGAGCCGAUGGGGAACAUAGUAUACCAGGGCGAGAGAUGAAAUGCCAAGACCCCUGGUGGACUGAGCGAGGCGAAGGCGAUGUUCUUGUAGGCAUUCGGUGAUCAAGGACGAAGGCUGGAGUAUCGAAAGUGAUUAGAUACCGCAGUAGUUCCAGCAGUAAAAGAUGCCGACAUGCUCAUUGGACACAGUGGGCAGGGAGAAAUCUUAGAGUUCGGGCUCUGGGGAUAGUAUGCUCGCAAGGGUGAAAAUUAAAGAAAUUGACGGAGCUACACCACAAGGAGUGGAUUGUGCGGCUUAAUUUGACUCAACGCGAGGAAACUUACCAGGGCCAAGUAUUGUGUAGAAACGAGCAAUACAGGAGUGGUGCAUGGUCGUUGGAAAUUGAUGGGAUGACUUUGACCUUAAAUGGUUGAAUGAGUGAGAUCUUUUGGACAUGUUCCGCACGGAACAGGAAGGAAAAGGCUAUAACAGAUCCGAGAUGCCCUCAGAUGCCCUGGGCUGCACGCGCAAUACAAUAGCAGGUAGAGAGAGAGACAGGAAGGUGCUCAGAUGGACUAUGUGCUGUAAGGCACAUACGAAAGAGGAAUUCCUAGUAAGUGUGUAUCAACAAUGGAUAU